GCAAGUCGAACGAUGAACUGGAGCUUGCUCCAGGGAUUAGUGGCGAACGGGUGAGUAACACGUGAGUAACCUGCCCUUGACUCUGGGAUAAGCGCUAGAAAUGGCGUCUAAUACCGGAUACGAGCUUCAGCCGCAUGGCUAGGAGUUGGAAAGAAUUUUGGUCAAGGAUGGACUCGCGGCCUAUCAGCUAGUUGGUGAGGUAAUGGCUCACCAAGGCGACGACGGGUAGCCGGCCUGAGAGGGUGACC
rnacentral:rRNA from 1 species